AAUAUUGCGCAAUGGGGUGAACCCUGACGCAGCAACGCCGCGUGAGCGAAGAAGGCCUUCGGGUCGUAAAGCUCUGUCUAGAGGGAUGAUAGUGACAGUACCUCUGUAGUAAGCCCCGGCUAACUACUUCGCAGCAGCCGCGGUAACACGUAGGGGGCAAGCGUUGUCCGGAGUUACUGGGCGUAAAGGGCGCGUGGGCGGUAGAUUAAGUCAGAUGUGAAAGUCCAGGGCUCAACCCUGGAAUUGCAAUUGAAACCGGUUUACUUGAGUGCAGGAGAAGAGAGCGGAAUUCCUAGUGUAGCGGUGAAAUGCGUAGAUAUUAGGAAGAACACCAGUGGCGAAGGCGGCUCUCUGGACUGUAACUGACGCUGAGGCGCGAAAGCGUGGGUAGCGAAAA
rnacentral:rRNA from 1 species